CGAACCGAUGCGAUGUCGGCCCCCGAAA
rnacentral:sRNA from 1 species